CUACGCUCAGAGCAGCUGCAGAACAACAGCGAGCAGGGCUGGGGGACGUCGCUCCUCCUCUCCCUCCCUCCCUCUCGCCUUCUGGGAGACGAUGAGGAUGCGGCGGUACCCACCUGGCUCCAUCUCCGUGCUGGGCUCCACAGGACUGGGAUGCCCCAGAGAUGCCACUGGGGUAAAGCAGAAAGGCAAGGAGGUGCUAGGACGCUAGAUGGACCUGACCGUACC